rnacentral:lncRNA from 1 species
UAUGUGUGGGGAAGUUUCCUGGUACAAAGGAAAAAAAAACAGGACCUAAGUCAAUGUUAGUCUACCACUGUACGUCUGGUAACCUCAAUCCCUGCAACCGGAGCAAAAUGUGGAUUCCAGGUCUUGGCAACCUUUGAAAUUCCAAUUCCAUUUGCAAGAGCUUUGAGGAGGCCAUAUGCUGAUUUCACCACAAGCAACUUCACAACCCAGUACUGGAAUGCCAUCAGCCAGCAGGCCCCUGCCAUUAUCUGUGACUUCUAUCUGUGGCUCAUUGGAAGGAAACCCAGGCUACCGAAGGAAGAUACCCUCAUCAACCCAAUUUUACAAAUGGAGAAAUAGAAGCUCAGGGAAGAAUCUGAAGUAGUCUCAAAGGAAGUGACAGGAAGGAUGUGGAGAAAGCUGAGUGUCAAAGUCAGUAUUCAGGACCGGCUUUACUGCUACUUAGAGAUGAAUGAAGAAAUCAGAGGGAACGCAGUGUGCUGAUGCUAAAGCGGCUGUCACCACCCAGCUGUGUGACAUAGGACAUCUUCUUUCUCUGUCUCACUUGAAUAAUAUGAUGUGUCAGAGGAGACAUGAUUGUAAUUGCCUAAAGCAAUUCUUGUGAUCAAGAAUCAGAAGCAUGAACAGUAUUGCCCUCUGUGUUAGCCCCUUUAUAAGGGAGGAAGUCAUCUUCAGCAUGCUGAAUUGUCAUCUUUCUUAGCAGUGCAAAUGACUAAAACUUAGCCAAUGUAGAGUUUGUCCAAAUUUGGAGCUCAUAACUCAGUUCUUGAGCAAAGUGAAAAGAAAACAUUGUGAUUAUGGGGAAAAUAUUUGUACGGGACUUAUCAAAUAAAGAUAGUUUUUCACAAAAUCUGAGGAGCUGAUACGGAAAGCACACCAGAUCUCAUGUGUUGAAAUGUGAACAUGCUCACCACAGACCAAGGACAUUCAACCUGUCAAUCCCCAGGAUUUCCAAGCCAGGAGUUUCAUCUCUUACUUGUGGAAAAUUUGUCCAUUUAAUUGUGAACCAAUCAGCUUUUCAUUGUGUCAAAAUCAAAUCUGGAUAGUGAAAUAUAUAUUUUAUCUUUAUUGUUAUCUUAAAUAUAUCUUGGCUUAAAGAGACAUAAGUAGCUCUUCCCCACUACACCAGAUAAUGAGUUGCAAAUAAAUCAUUCAGUAGUAAAGUUCAAA